AAAUAAAACAGCAUAUCAGAAAAGGUUAAAUUAGACAAAAAACACUGUUGCGUAGUACAUGAUUAAUUAAACUCCAUGCAUAGUUAGCUGUGAGGUACAACCCUACCGAACAAAAAAAAUGAAAUUAGCUGAAACAUCAACGAUUACAAGAGAGUUGCAUAAAAAAUUAUGAAAGCUUAACAAAAUUGAUUUCAGUUAUUUAAUU
rnacentral:lncRNA from 1 species